rnacentral:rRNA from 1 species
UACGUAGGGGGCUAGCGUUAUCCGGAAUUACUGGGCGUAAAGGGUGCGUAGGUGGUUUCUUAAGUCAGAGGUGAAAGGCUACGGCUCAACCGUAGUAAGCCUUUGAAACUGGGAAACUUGAGUGCAGGAGAGGAGAAUGGAAUUCCUAGUGUAGCGGUGAAAUGCGUAGAUAUUAGGAGGAACACCAGUUGCGAAGGCGGCUCUCUGGACUGUAACUGACACUGAGGCACGAAAGCGUGGGGAGCAAACAGGAUUAGAUACCCGUGUAGUCCCUGAGCGGG